UGGGGAAUAUUGGACAAUGGGCGCAAGCCUGAUCCAGCAAUGCCGCGUGUGUGAAGAAGGCCUUCGGGUUGUAAAGCACUUUUAUCAGGAGCGAAACGCUGUCGGCUAAUACCCGGCGGAACUGACGGUACCUGAGGAAUAAGCACCGGCUAACUUCGUGCCAGCAGCCGCGGUAAUACGAAGGGUGCAAGCGUUAAUCGGAAUUACUGGGCGUAAAGCGUGCGUAGGCGGUUUCUUAAGUCUGCUGUGAAAUCCCCGGGCUCAACCUGGGAAUGGCAGUGGAUACUGGGAGGCUAGAGUGUGUCAGAGGGUGGUGGAAUUCCCGGUGUGGCGGUGAAAUGCGUAGAGAUCGGGAGGAACAUCAGUGGCGAAGGCGGCCACCUGGGACAACACUGACGCUGAGGCACGAAAGCGUGGGGAGCAAACAGGAUUAGAUACCCUGGUAGUCCACGCCCUAAAGCGAUGCGAACUGGAUGUUGGUCUCAACUCGGAGAUCAGUGUCGAAGCUAACGCGUUAAGUUCGCCGCCUGGGGAGUACGGUCGCAAGACUGAAACUCAAAGGAAUUGACGGGGUCAUAGCUGUUUCCUG
rnacentral:rRNA from 1 species